GACGAACGCUGGCGGCGUGCUUAACACAUGCAAGUCGAACGGAAAGGCCCUGCUUUUGUGGGGUGCCAGAGUGGCGAACGGGUGAGUAACACGUGAGUCACCUGCCCUUGAUUUUGGGAUAACUUCAGGCAACUGGGGCUAAUACCGGAUAGCAGCUCCUGCUGCAUGGUGGGGGUUGGAAAUUUCCGGCGGGUGGGGGUGGACUCGCGGCUUAUCAGCUUGUUGGUGGGGUGGUGGCUUACCAAGGCUUUGACGGCUAGCCGGCCUGCGAGGGUGACCGGCCACAUUGGGACUGAGAUAAGGCCCAGACGCCUACGGGAGGCAGAAGUGGGGACUAUUGAACAAUGGGCGGACGCCUGAUGCAGCAACGCCGCGUGCGGGAUGACGGGCUUCGGGUUGUAAACCGCUUUCGCCUGUGACGAAGCGGGAGUGACGGUAAUGGGUCAAGAAGCACCGGCUAAGUACGUG
rnacentral:rRNA from 1 species